rnacentral:rRNA from 1 species
CUAGCCGUAAACGAUGGAUACCAGGCGUUGUGAGUAUCGACCCUCACAGUGUCGUAGCUAACGCGUUAAGUAUCCCGCCUGGGGAGUACGCGCGCAAGCGUGAAACUCAAAGGAAUUGACGGGGGCCCGCACAAGCGGUGGAGUAUGUGGUUUAAUUCGAUGCAACGCGAAGAACCUUACCAGGACUUGACAUGUCGCGAAUCUCAGGGAAACUUGAGAGUGCCUUCGGGAGCGCGAACACAGGUGGUGC